GCCCCUCGUCGGACACAGGCUGGGGCUCUCCUGCCCCCCGCUUCUGAAGCUGGGAACUUCUGUUUUCCUCGCUGUCCUGUGUGGAUAUUUGCACUGGUAUCAUCUCUCACAGCUGUUUGAGAAUGACAGGCACUUUUCACAUCUGUCCACACUGGAAAAGGAA